UUGAGGUCUUCCAGCCCCUAAAACUGGCAAUGAGGGCUUCCAUUCUGGCUCUUCACCAUGAUAACCUUGGGGGCUUCCUGGAUUUAAAACCCAGGAAAGCAGGGGUUGAGAAGGGAGAGCCUUUGACCAUGGUCUCUAGCAGUUUUUCACUCUCCUAAAUGUCCACGUUCAGCCUCCAGCAAGUUGUCGAAAUCACCAGACAAGGUUUUGCUGUAUUGCCUACUACACUGGAG
rnacentral:lncRNA from 1 species